rnacentral:rRNA from 1 species
ACUCCUACGGGAGGCAGCAGUGGGGAAUCUUGGACAAUGGGCGCAAGCCUGAUCCAGCCAUGCCGCGUGAGUGAUGAAGGCCCUAGGGUCGUAAAGCUCUUUCGCCAGAGAUGAUAAUGACAGUAUCUGGUAAAGAAACCCCGGCUAACUCCGUGCCAGCAGCCGCGGUAAUACGGAGGGGGUUAGCGUUGUUCGGAAUUACUGGGCGUAAAGCGCGCGUAGGCGGACUGGAAAGUUGGGGGUGAAAUCCCGGGGCUCAACCCCGGAACUGCCUCCAAAACUAUCAGUCUAGAGUUCGAGAGAGGUGAGUGGAAUUCCGAGUGUAGAGGUGAAAUUCGUAGAUAUUCGGAGGAACACCAGUGGCGAAGGCGGCUCACUGGCUCGAUACUGACGCUGAGGUGCGAAAGUGUGGGGAGCAAACAGGAUUAGAUACCCUGGUAGACUG